rnacentral:rRNA from 1 species
CAUGGCAACAUGAAUCCUUUCUUCGAGAAGCCAACGAGGGGCAUCGGAAGAGUUUUCUUUUCUGUUUUACAGCCACCACCGACCAUGGAAGUCACUCACAGAGAGAUAUGGUUGGACGCGCUGGUAGAGCACGGCCGUCGCCACUGCCGUGUCGAUGCACUCUUCUUGGACCAUGAAAAUCGAAG